UACGUAGGGUGCAAGCGUUAAUCGGAAUUACUGGGCGUAAAGCGUGCGCAGGCGGUUGUGUAAGACAGAUGUGAAAAUCCCCGGGCUCAACCUGGGAACUGCAUUUGUGACUGCACAGCUGGAGUGCGGCAGAGGGGGAUGGAAUUCCGCGUGUAGCAGUGAAAUGCGUAGAUAUGCGGAGGAACACCGAUGGCGAAGGCAAUCCCCUGGGCCUGCACUGACGCUCAUGCACGAAAGCGUGGGGAGC
rnacentral:rRNA from 1 species